GUUUGGCGUUGCAGCUGUGUGGGCGCUGGUGCGUGCGAGUAGCGCUCGAAGAAACCCAAAGGCGUCGUGGGGCUGCCGUGUGCCCCAGAGAGCACUGCAGGCCGGGUAGGGGCUAAGGCUCCCCGCAGUCUUCUGUGUGUCGUCCAGUACGCAGUUGAAAUCGUUCUCCAACCUGGCCAGUCCUCCGAGGCCCUUCUCAGGCGACCAGACUCUGUUAACAGAGUCCAUUGCUAAAACUCCUCGUUAGUAUUUACCACUCCUCCAGUCUGUGUUUUGAAGCAGUGGUUUUCAACCACUGCCCGUUUUCAGAAGAAAUCAUCUCAAGCGUCCGUGUGCUGCUAGAAGCCGGGCCGGGAGGUCUUGGUGCCGGACUCCACCCUGCAGCCCUUCCCUUUCGCCACCGCCCUGUGCUUAGAGAAACCUUAGAGUGGAGCAAUGAGUCGCCCUUGACUGAGUAACUCUUCGGGGUCAACUUCUCCUUCCACGCCAAGGAAAGGAUUCCAGGGCGAUGUUUCUGGAAAUAGAGAUCUGACCAAGCCACUGCUCUGGUGAAAAUUCAGUGGGUCCCUAGCACCUAGUGCAGCGGCUCCUAGCCUGAGUAUUGCCGUCUUUCGGUGGGGAGGGGUUGGGUUUUUUUGUAGCAUCUGUUGAUCUGAUCUCCAACAUCCUCCACGUCAAUUCCCACUCCACCCACAUCCCUUAUCCUAUACGUAAGCUUUCCAGCCACGGUGCUGGCUUGGGUGGGGGUGCGUGCGGUGCUGACACCAAAAUGGAGGUCCCGUGUUUCUGAGAGUCUCUUUCAGAGCAAUGCAAACCUGAAACUACUCCUGCCAAGAAACGAUUGCAGCUCUUCCCGGAAAAGUUAAAGCCUUUGAGAAACAAAGCUGAGUAAGAAGGAGAACUAAGAAAGAGACUGAAGCAUGGUCUGUGGAGAAGGCACUUGUGCAAACACCAGGAGAAUGAGGGGCCUGAGUUGUCUUCGUUUCUCCUAAAAGCAUGCAUUCCCGGCUGGGCGCGGUGACUCAUGCGUGUAAUCCCGCCACUUUAGAAGGCUGAGGCAGGCGGAUCACCUGAGAUCGGGAGUUCGAGACCAGCCCGACCAACAUGGAGAAACCCCAUCUCUAUUAAAAAUACAAAAUUACCCAGGCAUGGUGGCACAUGCCUGUAAUCCCAGCUACUUGGGAGGCGAAGGCAGGAGAAUUGCUUGAACCCAGAAGGCGGAAGCUGCAGAGAGCCGAGAUUUCGCCAUUGUACUCCAGCCUGGGCAACAAGAGUGAAACUCCAUCUCAAAAAACAAACAAACAAACACACAAACAAACAAACAAACACAUUCCCUCCCAGGCCACCCAAGUGAGGGCAUGAAGCACAGCGUGUGUGUGUGUGUGUGUGUGUGUGUGUGCACGCGUGUGUGCAUAUGUGUGUUUGUGUGUUGCAGGGGUUACAGUGGACAGGAUGUGGGAGGGCAGCUGCAGCUCCAAGCUGCAAGUCUUUCUGAUAGAAUGCUUAAAACUCCUUGGACCACAGCAAGAGAGUGUUUUCAUUUGCACCCAUUUUUAUUAGCGUUUGAACCUGUACUUUUUGUAGCAUGUAAACCUUAAGCUGCUUAACUAUUCCUUGAAGCAUUUACACCAGCGGUUCCCAACCUUUUUGCUACCUGAGACCAGUUUUCUUGAAGACAAUUCUUCCACGGACCCGGGAGAAGGGGAAGGGAUGAUGUGGAGAUGAUUCAAGCCCAUUACAUUUAUUGUGUGCUUCAUUUCUAUUAUUUCACUGUAAUAUAUAAUGAAAUAAUUACACAACUCACCAUAAUGUGGAAUCAGUGGGAGCCCUGAGCUAGUUUUCCUGCAACUGCAUGGUUCCAUCUGGGGGUGAUGGGAGACAGUCACAGAUCAUCAGGCAUUAGGUUCUCAUAAGGAGCACGCAAUCUAGAUCCCUGGCAUGCGCAGUUCACAGUAGGGUUCACGCUCCUAUGAGAUAAUGGCACCGCUCAUCUGAGAGGAGGCACAGCUCACGUGGUAAUGCAAGGGAUGGGAAGUGGCUGUUUCUACAGAUGAAGCUUUGCUCACUGGCUGGCUGCUCACCUCCUGCUGUGUAGCCUGGUUCCUAACAGCUGGGGAUCCCUCAUUUACCCAGCAAGAUAAAUACAUUAUUAUGUCAAUUGAAAUUCUUCACCUUGAACCACCCCAAAUUACCUUGCAUACCUACACCCACCCAAGGGUCCCGGAGCACACUUUGGGGGCUGCAGACAGUAAGCCUGGAGCUCCAUGGAGCAUUCCAUCUCUCCACCAUCUGUGGGCUAACAGGCUGUGUUAGUUUCCUAGGGCUGUUUUACAGUACCACAGACUGGGCACCUUCAACAACAGAACGUUACUGUCUCACAGUACUGGAGGCCAUGAGUCCAAGAUCAAGGUGUCAGCAAGGUGGGUCCCUUCUGAGGCUGUGCAGGAAGGCUCUGUUCCAGGCCUGUCUUCUCAUGCGCGGGUGGACGUCUUCUCCCUGUGACUCUCCAUUAAGGGUGAUUCUGGUGAGGGCUCAGAAGAGGAGACUUGGACAGAAUGUUGGUAGGUAAAUGUGUCAGUGGAAACCAGAGGGUAGACAGGACUCCAUCCAUGCCCAGGGCUUUCUGGGGACAGACCUGUCCAAGCAGCAGCGAUUCCCAACCGAGUUCUGUUUCUGGAAAGCCAGGCAACAGCUGGGGCUGGGCCCUCUGGGAUUUGUUUAGUGACCCGAUGAUGUGGGAGGCCUGCAGUGGGUGGUUGGGUGGGGGGUGGUACUGCCCAACCUCAUUGCAUCACUCACUUCCCAGGCCCUGCCCUCAACCCCUCCUGACCAGGCCCUGUCCUGGUUCUCAGCCACCCUGUCCCAGUGGGUGCUUCAGCCCACUCACUGACCAAGUGAGGGACUGACUCCAGGUUACAGAGUGCUGUGUUUAUGUGACCUGAGAAUAUGUGUGCGCAGAGUGUGCCCGCAGUGUCCUUGUACAGUUGAGCAUAUACAUGUCCUGCCCGUGUGUAGGCAGCCUGUCCACACAUGCCUAGGAGUGUGA
rnacentral:lncRNA from 1 species